AACCUACGGGAGGCAGCAGUGAGGAAUAUUGGUCAAUGGGCUUACGCCUGAACCAGCCAAGUCGCGUGAGGGAAGACUGCCCUAUGGGUUGUAAACCUCUUUUGUCAGGGAGCAAUUGGCGCUACGUGUAGCGUUAUCGAGAGUACCUGAAGAAAAAGCAUCGGCUAACUCCGUGCCAGCAGCCGCGGUAAUACAUAGGGGGCAAGCGUUAUCCGGAAUUAUUGGGUGUAAAGGGUGCGUAGACGGAAGAACAAGUUGGUUGUGAAAUCCCUCGGCUCAACUGAGGAACUGCAACCAAAACUAUU
rnacentral:rRNA from 1 species